rnacentral:rRNA from 1 species
AGGGUGUAAACGCUGCAGACUUGGUGUUGGGAACCCUUCGGGGGUGCUCAGUGCCGGAGAGAAGUUGUUAAGUCUGCUACUUGGGGAGUACGUCCGCAAGGAUGAAACUUAAAGGAAUUGGCGGGGGAGCACCGCAACGGGAGGAGCGUGCGGUUUAAUUGGAUUCAACGCCGAAAAACUCACCAGCAGCGACUGUUACAUGAAAGUCAGGCUGAUGACCUUACUAGAUUUUCAGAGAGGAGGUGCAUGGCGUCAGUGACU